GACGAACGCUGGCGGCGUGCUUAACACAUGCAAGUCGAACGGUGAAGCGCCUUCCUUUUUGGUGGGUGUGGAUGAGUGGCGAACGGGUGGGUAACACGUGAGUAACCUGCCCCCUUCUUCUGGAUAACCGCAUGAAAGUGUGGCUAAUACGGGAUAUUCUGGGUCUGUCGCAUGAUGGGUCUGGGAAAGAUAUUGUUUCGGUGGGGGAUGGGCUCGCGGCCUAUCAGCUUGUUGGUGGGGUGAUGGCCUACCAAGGCGGUGACGGGUAGCCGGCCUGAGAGGGUGGACGGUCACACUGGGACUGAGCCACGGCCCAGACUCCUACGGGAGGCAGCAGUGGGGAAUAUUGCACAAUGGGCGCAAGCCUGAUGCAGCGACGCCGCGUGAGGGAUGGAGGCCUUCGGGUUGUGAACCUCUUUCGCCAGUGAAGCAGGCCUGCCUCGUUUGUGGGUGGGUUGACGGUAGCUGGAUAAGAAGCGCCGGCUAACUACGUG
rnacentral:rRNA from 1 species